UGCCAGCCGCCGCGGUAAUACGGAGGGGGUUAGCGUUGUUCGGAAUUACUGGGCAUAAAGCGUGCGUAGGCGGCGAGGUAAGUCAGAUGUGAAAGCUCAGGGCUCAACCCUGAAAUUGCAUCCGAUACUGCCUUGCUAGAGUAAUGGAGGGGAGUCUGGAAUUCACGGUGUAGCAGUGAAAUGCGUAGAUAUCGUGAGGAACACUAGCGGCGAAGGCGAGACUCUGGACAUUUACUGACGCUCAGGCACGAAGGCUAGGGUAGCGAAGCGGAUUAGAUA
rnacentral:rRNA from 1 species